rnacentral:rRNA from 1 species
UCGGGAAUAUUGGACAAUGGGUGAGAGCCUGAUCCAGCCAUGCCGCGUGCAGGAAGAAGGCGUUAUGCGUUGUAAACUGCUUUUGCCAGGGGAUAAAAAGACCGUGCGCGGUUAAUUGAAGGUACCUGGUGAAUAAGCCACGGCUAACUACGUGCCAGCAGCCGCGGUAAUACGUAGGUGGCAAGCGUUGUCCGGAUUUAUUGGGUUUAAAGGGUGCGUAGGUGGCCCUGUAAGUCAGUGGUGAAAUAUCUCAGCUUAACUGAGAGGGUGCCAUUGAUACUGCAGGGCUUGAGUACAGAUGAGGUAGGCGGAAUUGACGGUGUAGCGGUGAAAUGCAUAGAUAUCGUCAAGAACACCGAUAGCGAAGGCAGCUUACCAAGCUGUAACUGACACUGAGGCACGAAAGUGUGGGGAUCAAACAGGAUUAGAUACCCAAGUAGUCCCUGAGCGGGCUGGCAAGGCGCAU